CCAGCCGCCGCGGUAAUACGAAGGGUCCGAGCGUUAUCCGGAAUCAUUGGGUUUAAAGGGUCCGCAGCCGGCCAGAUAAGUCAGUGGUGAAAUUCCGUGGCUCAACCACGGAACUGCCAUUGAUACUGUUUGGCUUGAAUCAGUUCGAGGAUGCCGGAAUGUGUGGUGUAGCGGUGAAAUGCAUAGAUAUCACACGGAACACCAAUUGCGAAGGCAGGUGUCCAGAACUGUAUUGACGCUGAUGGACGAAAGCGUGGGUAGCGAACAGGAUUAGAUACCCUGGUAGUCCACGCCGUAAACGAUGGUCACUAGCUGUCCGGACUUAGGUCUGGGUGGCCAAGCGAAAGUGAUAAGUGACCCACCUGGGGAGUACGUUCGCAAGAAUGAAACUCAAAGGAAUUGACGGGGGCCCGCACAAGCGGUGGAGCAUGUGGUUUAAUUCGAUGAUACGCGAGGAACCUUACCAGGGCUUAAAUGCAUUAUGACAGGGGUGGAGACACCCUUUUCUUCGGACAUUUUGCAAGGUGCUGCAUGGUUGUCGUCAGCUCGUGCCGUGAGGUGUCAGGUUAAGUCCUAUAACGAGCGCAACCCCUGUUGUUAGUUGCCAGCGAGUAAUGUCGGGAACUCUAGCAAGACUGCCGGUGCAAACCGCGAGGAAGGUGGGGAUGACGUCAAAUCAUCACGGCCCUUACGCCCUGGGCCACACACGUGCUACAAUGGCAGGUACAGCAAGCAGCCACUGGGCGACCAGGAGCGAAUCUGUAAAGCCUGUCACAGUUCGGAUCGGAGUCUGCAACUCGACUUCGUGAAGCUGGAAUCGCUAGUAAUCGCAUAUCAGCCAUGAUGCGGUGAAUACGUUCCCGGGCCUUGUACACACCGCCCGUCAAGCCAUGGAAGCUGGGAGUGCCUGAAGUCCGUCGCCGCAAGGAGCGGCCUAGGGUAAGACCGGUAACUGGGGCUAAGUCGUAACAAGGUAGCC
rnacentral:rRNA from 1 species